rnacentral:rRNA from 1 species
AUUGAACGCUGGCGGCAUGCCUUACACAUGCAAGUCGAACGGCAGCGCGGGAGCAAUCCUUGCGGCGAGUGGCGAACGGGUGAGUAGUGCAUCGGAACGUGCCCAGUUGUGGGGGAUAGCCCGGCGAAAGCCGGAUUAAUACCGCCAGAGACCAGAGGGUGAAAGCGGGGGAUCGAAAGACCUCGCGCGACUGGUGCGGCCGAUGUUAGAUUAGGUAGUUGGUGGGGUAAGGGCCUACCAAGCCUGCGAUCUGUAGCUGGUCUGAGAGGACGCCCAGCCACACUGGGACUGAGACACGGACCAGACUCCUACGGGAGGCAGCAGUGGGGAAUUUUGGACAAUGGGCGCAAGCCUGAUCCAGCCAUGCCGCGUGCGGGAAGAAGGCCUUCGGGUUGUAAACCGCUUUUGUCGGGGAAGAAACGGCCUGGGCUAAUACCUUGGGCUAAUGACGGUACCCGAAGAAUAAGCACCGGCUAACUACGUGCCAGCAGCCGCAGUAA